CCUACGGGUGGCAGCAGUGAGGAAUAUUGGUCAAUGGACGCAAGUCUGAACCAGCCAUGCCGCGUGCAGGAUGACGGCUCUAUGGGUUGUAAACUUCUUUUGUACGGGGGUAAACGCAGAUACGCGUAUCUGUCUGAAAGUAUCUUACGAAUAAGGAUCGGCUAACUCCGUGCCAGCAGCCGCGGUAAUACGGAGGAUUCAAGCGUUAUCCGGAUUUAUUGGGUUUAAAGGGUGCGUAGGCGGUCGGAUAAGUUAGAGGUGAAAUCCCGGGGCUCAACUUUGGAAUUGCCUUUGAUACUGGUAGGCUAGAGAGUAGUUGAGGUAGGCGGAAUGCAUGGUGUAGCGGUGAAAUGCUUAGAGAUCAUGAAGAACACCGAUUGCGAAGGCAGCUUACCAAGCUACUACUGACGUUGAGGCACGAAAGCGUGGGGAGCAAACAGGAUUAGAUACCCCUGUAGUC
rnacentral:rRNA from 1 species